AUUGAGACUAGUCACGCUUGGGUAUCACCCGUGGCCUUAGUGUGCUAGAGUCCUUGAAGAGUAACUGCUGACAUUAUUCACUGGCUGUGGCCCUCAUGCUAUAGCCAGGCGUCAGGUUAGUGACAUGU
ensembl:snoRNA